AUACGGAGGAUCCGAGCGUUAUCCGGAUUUAUUGGGUUUAAAGGGUGCGCAGGCGGGAGAUUAAGUCGGCGGUGAAAUUUUGCAGCUCAACUGUAAAAGUGCCUUCGAAACUGGUUUCCUUGAGUGUAGAUGAAGUAGGCGGAAUUUGUGGUGUAGCGGUGAAAUGCAUAGAUAUCACGAGGAACUCCGAUUGCACAGGCAGCUUACUAAACUACUACUGACGCUCAGGCACGAAGGCGUGGGGAUCAAACAGGAUUAGAUACCCUGGUAGUCCACGCAGUAAACGAUGAUUACUAGCUGUUUGCGAUACAAUGUAAGCGGCUGAGCGAAAGCGUUAAGUAAUCCACCUGGGGAGUACGUUCGCAAGAAUGAAACUCAAAUGAAUUGACGGGG
rnacentral:rRNA from 1 species